UACGUAGGGUGCAAGCGUUAAUCGGAAUUACUGGGCGUAAAGCGUGCGCAGGCGGCUUUGCAAGACAGAUGUGAAAUCCCCGGGCUCAACCUGGGAACUGCAUUUGUGACUGCAUGGCUAGAGUACGGCAGAGGGGGAUGGAAUUCCGCGUGUAGCAGUGAAAUGCGUAGAUAUGCGGAGGAACACCGAUGGCGAAGGCAGUCCCCUGGGCCUGUACUGACGCUCAUGCA
rnacentral:rRNA from 1 species